AAUUACAUAGUUAAUUAGACUAUACGAGUCGAGUCCAAUUUAGAAUAUCGUAAAUCUUUUAUAAGUUUAUCAGAGUUGAGAUCGAGAUUUAAUUCAGUUUGUUCAGCGAUGCAAACGAGCCAAGCCAACCUCGAACUCGUUAGGGCCUUUAAACGAACCGAGCUCGAGCUAACAAUUAUUUUUUCAAACCGAGCUCGAGCUACCACUACAAAUGAACGAACCAAGCUCAAACUGGGCAAAACUCAGCUUGACUCAUCAGCAGCCCUAGCAGCUCCGCGAUUUGACCGUUGCAGCCUUUUUGUUCUGCAGGCAGAUAGUUAAGGAAGAGGAGAUACUAUCAAUCGAAGUGAAGCCAGGUUGGAGGAAGGGGACCAAGAUAAC
rnacentral:lncRNA from 1 species